rnacentral:rRNA from 1 species
GAGCACGUAGGUGGGUUUGUAAGUCAGAUGUGAAAGCCUUCUGUUCAACGGAAGAAUUGCAUCUGAAACUACAAGUCUUGAGUGUAGGAGGGGAGAAUGGAACUUCUGGUGGAGCGGUGAAAUGCGUAGAUAUCAGAAGGAACGCCGGCGGCGAAAGCGAUUCUCUGGCCUAUUACUGACACUCAGUGUGCGAAAGCUAGGGGAGCAAACGGGAUUAGAUACCCCGGUAGUCCUAGCCGUAAACGAUGGGCACUAAGUAGAGGGAAUUACCGAUGUUCUCUCUGCCGUAGCUAACGCAUUAAGUGCCCCGCCUGGGGAGUACGGCCGCAAGGCUAAAACUCAAAAGAAUUGACGGGGGCUCGCACAAGCGGUGGGGCAUGUGGCUUAAUUCGAUGCAACGCGAAAAACCUUACCGGGGCUUGACAUGGUAGAAGUAGGAACCCGAAAGGGUAACGAACGGUAUCCAGUCCGUAGCUAUCACAGGUGUUGCAUGGCUGUCGUCAGCUCGUGUCGUGAGACGUUGGGUUAAGUCCCCUAACGAGCGAAACCCUUGUUUUUAGUUACCAGCGGGUUGUGCCGGGUACUCUAGAAAGACUGCCGUCGUCAAGACGGAGGAAGGUGGGGAUGACGUCAAGUCAUCAUGGCCCUUAUGCCCCGAGCUGCACACGUGCUACAAUGGUCGGUACAAACGGAUGCGAAGCCGAGAGGUGAAGCGAAUCC